GGCGUCCGAGUUGUAAUCUAUAGAGGCGUUUUCCGUGCCGGACCGUGUCCAAGUUCCUUGGAACAGGAUAUCAAAGAGGGUGACAAUCCCGUACUUGACACGACGACCGGUGCUCUGUGAUACGUCUUCUACGAGUCGAGUUGUUUGGGAAUGCAGCUCAAAAUGGGUGGUGAGUUCCAUCUAAAGCUAAAUAUUGGCGAGAGACCGAUAGCGAACAAGUACCGUGAGGGAAAGAUGAAAAGCACUUUGGAAAGAGAGUUAAACAGUACGUGAAAUUGUUGAAAGGGAAACGAUUGAAGUCAGUCGUGACCGAGAGGCUCAGCCGGUUCUGCCGGUGUAUUCCCCUCGGUCGGGUCAACAUCAGUUUUGUCCGGUGGAUAAGGGCGGUAGGAAGGUGGCACCCUCGGGUGUGUUAUAGCCUGCCGUCGCAUACAUCGGGUGAGACUGAGGAACGCAGCUC
rnacentral:rRNA from 1 species